GGACAUCCGUCUGAAAUCCGCGAGCAACAGCCAGUACAUCGAUUGGUCAGUGUUUCGGUCAUUUUUAAUGAAGUUUUAGAAUGUUGUCGGAUAUCAUCGAGAGAUUCAUCCUUGGUGGAACUUUUUCAGAAGAUUUCUACUGUUUCUAGGACGAGGUGCUUGUUUACGAGCUUCCUGGAGGCGCCAGCCAGGCGAUCAUUUGAAUAUGAGGUAUUAAAUCAAUGUCCACUGGGACAUUGAUAACAGCAGCGAUGUCAAAUCAAAAGUAUGACGAACACUUAGUUACGUCAGCGUAGCUACAAGUCCAGCCACGGAUUCGCCAUAAGAUAUAUAGUGCUAGGCGUGCAUAACGCGUGGAAUACGAGAUUCUUCCCUUGCAUGAGUAAAAUUUCUUAUUCGACGACGCCGUCGGUCUCGUUGUUCUUCGCGAAUUACCAAGCGGACCUCCGUUGAUUUUUGGCAUCGGUCAAGAUUUCAGAGACUUUUUAUUAUUUCGAUACUAACGCGAAAAGACAGUCUUCUUUCUUCAUCGUAAGAAACUUUAAUCCUCUCUACAUUGUUUAAAGAAGCUCAAAGCAUACGAAUAAUGGUAGAUUCUCUUUCUUGUUUCCCUAGAAAUUCAAUAGCAAAUGGCGCCUGCCUCGUAUCUUUCGCAACAGAAAAAUCGAGUAUCUCCAUGGCGAAUUCAACGACACGAUAAAAGGGUUAAGGAUUAGAAGAAAGAAUCGUGAAAGCGAAGAUCGGCUCGAAUAUUCCAUGAUUUCACGCGAAAAAGUAAGGGGAAAGACAAAAAAAAAAAAAAAAAGAGAAAAGAGGAAGAAAGAAGAAUAAA